ensembl:lncRNA
GAGCCGUCCGGCAGUCAGAGCAGGACUGGCGCGGCUCCUGCACCGGCGGACUCAGCCUCGGCUUCGGUGACCCUGGCGCAGCUCCUGCAGCUGGUCCAGCAGGGCCGGGGGCUCCCCGGCCUGGAGAGGCGCCACGUCGUGGCGACCCUCGGCGAACCCACGGCGUCUCGGCUCCCGCGGAGGCCCAAGCCCUGGGAGGCCUCGGGCUCCGCCGACGACCCCGUGCCGCCCUUCCAGACCCGGGGCCACAGGCCCGACGACUCUCCCUAUGGGCAGAGGACCCUCCUGGAAGAACCUGGCUCCGGGGAGACUGCGACAGCGCCUUCCUAGAUGGCACAUAGUGGGUUCCUGAGGCUCGAGGUCCUUUGCAGCUGUGAAUGAAAAAUGUUGCUGCCCUAUCUGCAAAGGACGCUGCAGCCAUCUAGCCAUCAGCCAGUGCUGCGGCCCCGUCGGCGAGCCCUAGGGAACCGAGGAUGGAGUCUACAGUUUUGGUGACCAUGGAGAGAACCAGAGCAGACUUCUCCUCUUCGCCUGAACUCUACGAGGAACCGGACCCUUGGUACUGGCAGAGGCUUCUUGUGCCCAUCCGCCUCCUUGGAGAGUUCAUACGAACUUGGGUGAGUCUCUCCUGGUUCUUGGAUCUCCUGAUUAUUGGUUGAUUAUCCUGAGUUUUAUUUGGCAGUGUCUAGCAGAUGCCUGGCUCCCCAGUUGAAAGACAUUGGGGAGUGACCUCCCUAGUUGAAAGAUACUAGGGGAGCACAGUUGUGAAAGACACUGGAAGAAAAUGCCCACCAGCUGAAAGAUACUGGGGGAACCUGGUUGGAAGACACUUGGAUUUGCUCAGUUGAGAAGAUAUUUGGGGACUUCCCUGGUGGUCCGGUGGUUAAGCCUCUGCGUUUCCGCUGCAGGGGGCACGGGUUCCAUCCCUGGUCAGGGAACUAAGAUGCCACACCGCGCGGCCAAAUAAAAAAAAAAAGUACUGAGCAGUCUGGGCUGAAUGUUUAGAUAAGAGGGUGACCCGAUGUUUUCCUCAAAUUGGCUACCUUAAUAAGAAUUUGUCAGGAUAAGAGUGCAAUAGUAAAUUUUAUCCCCAACGAAUUCAGCUUUAAAACGGGAAAUAGAUUCUCUCAAACAAAAACGAAGGGCAUCAGAAAACCAACCUCCGAUUAACACUCCAUCCAGAUUCAUGAAUGUACUGAGCUCAUACUUGCAAGUACCUACUUAAUUGGGAGUCAGAGGAAAUCUCACCCUGAAAAUGACUCAGAUUGGGCUCAUUUAUUGAAUACGCAGUUAAGUUACAAAAAGCCGGCUUGAUAAAAACAUCUUUUCAAAAUUCUGACCUUAAAAAAACAAAAACAAAUAAAAGCCCUUCCGGGGGAAGUUUAAUUUCUCUUUCUGUGUCUUUGAGAUGUAAAUGUUCUACUUGAUCUUCUUCCAGCCUUUUGCGUGUAUGGCUUUUGAGAACUUGGUCUCUGCCAUCCAAAAGGUGCACAUAUGGUGUACAUUUGGCAGCCAAUCAAAUAGACUGGGAUUCUGAGCAGUCUUUUGUCUAGCUGUACCAACUCUCGGGGAUUUUUUGCCAUUUUAACCUUCAUUUGCGUCAGCCUGUACAACAAAGGCCUUUACUUUCUUAGACUAUUUUUGGGAAUAAACUUUCUGGAUCUUGUUUAGGCAGCAGCCUUCACACUCUCUUGCGGGGAAUGCCUCUUGCAUCUUAUUGGUUUGAGUCACUAUUAAGAUACAUCUUAUUAAUGGCCAGAUGAUGGAGCCUUUAAAUUGGGAAAACUCUGAAUUGGUAAAGUUUUAGGGAGCUCUCAUUAUAACUAGCUGUUUUAUUAGUACCUACGAGG